UGCAACUGUACAAUGACAAUAGUAGGAUUAUAGGGGUCUAUAAACCUACUAAUAUAAGGUACAGCUGCAUC